UACGUAGGGUGCAAGCAUUAAUCGGAAUUAUUGGGCGUAAAGGGCGCGUAGGCGGAAACGCAAGUCAGAUGUGAAAUUCCAAAGCUCAACUUUGGAGCUGCAUUUGAAACUGCGAUUCUAGGAGGUAAUACGGAGAAAGCGGAAUUCCACGUGUAGCGGUGAAAUGCGUAGAUAUGUGGAAGAACACCGGUGGCGAAAGCGGCUUUCUAGUUAAAACCUGACGCUGAGGCGCGAGAGCAAGGGGAGCAAACAGG
rnacentral:rRNA from 1 species